UAUGUGAUCGUCUCUCGCAUAUCAAUAAGCGGAGGAAAAGAAACUAACAAGGAUUCCCCUAGUAACGGCGAGUGAAGCGGGAAGAGCUCAAAUUUGGAAUCUUAAAGGGUUUCCCUUUACGAAUUGUAGUUUAAAGAAGUGUUUUCUGUUGAGGUUUUGGUAAAAGUUCUUUGGAAUAGGACAUCAUAGAGGGUGAGAAUCCCGUAUUUGACCUUUACUUUCAACUUUGUGAUACACUUUCAAAGAGUCGGAUUGUUUGGGAAUGCAGUCCAAAAUGGGUGGUAAAUUUCAUCUAAAGCUAAAUAUUGGCGAGAGACCGAUAGCGAACAAGUACCGUGAGGGAAAGAUGAAAAGAACUUUGAAAAGAGAGUUAAACAGUACGUGAAAUUGUCAAAAGGGAAGCGUUUGACACCAGUGUUGUUUUUCUGAAAAUCAAUUAAAGAACUGUUUAUGCUAAGCUGUUUAGACUUUAUCAGCUAACUGUUUAGUUUUGAGCUUUUCUUUAAUGCACUUUUCAGUUAACAAGUCAACAUCAAUUUCUUUUGCUGUAAAAAAGCUUGAGGAAGGUGGCUUGAGAUUCGUCUUAAGUGUUUAUAGCCUCUUGCCUAUGCAGUCGGAGAGAUUGAGGUCUGCAGCGUAGAUCCUUCGGGGCUAAAUGCAUUUGUGCUAAGUUAUAGCAUUUUAUAGACAACUUGUUGACUAUGAUUUGUCUUGUAGCUUACUCGCUUAUGUUAUUUUACCUACGCUUAGGAUGUUGAACGCGCACAGAGUCU
rnacentral:rRNA from 1 species